rnacentral:lncRNA from 1 species
AAUAGAUUAAUUCAAAAUAUUUAUUUCUCUGUCCCAUUGGACAGAGGACAAUAAAACAAAAUUUUGGGCACUGGUUUCAUUCAAAAAGGACUUCUAGAUAAUUAGUUAUGAUUUAAAAGGCAUAAAACCCUAAUCUGUAAUUUGAAUGUGAUUCAAAUAUUCAAAUUUGAAAUUGGACAGUGCAAAAAGAUUCUAAAUUUCCUAAGGAUUCCAAAAAGGUGUGGAUCACUAAAUUUGGCCAAACAGAUUUAAAGUUAUGAUCAUUUGAAGUUACAGGGGCCUAUCUGCAAAAGUGCCUUUUAUUAAUUCCGGGGGAUUAAAAUUACAUUUUUAUUUUAUAAAACCGGGUGCCACAUGGCGCAUUAUUAUUGGACGGUACCGGUUCGGUUUAUAAAUAAAUCCGAGCCGUUAGAUCUAACUUAUAAAGAUCGGACGCUCCACAGUGCGUACCGGUUCGUUUUAUAAGUGAUCUAAUCCUAGCCAUCGAUCUAGAUCGGAUGGACGAGGGGAGUUCUGCGUGCGGUCGGACGGGGCCGGUUCGGCCCAAAGUGGCCGGGCCGGUCCGGUUUACCCCUUUUUUUUUCUUUUCACCCUUUUCUUUUUCUGUUUUUCUUAUUCCUUUGAUAUCUUUUGAGUUUCAACUCCAAAUUGGUCCAAAUAAAUUCCAGAAAAUUUGUAAAAUCAUGUGUACCAAGAUACAACUUUUGGAAGUAGUUUCCCCUCAAAAUAAAAUAUAUAAAAAUACAUUUUCCCUAUAAAUGCCUUUAGGGCUAUAUAUCCAUUUAAAUAAAAUACUUUUUCAACUCCAAAUAAUUAUCCAAAAAUUAUGGGACAGCUUAUAUACGCAAUAAACCCCUUUUAUACUUAAACCUUAAUGGUUUGAAGAUCCAAAGCUCAAAUGGGUGUAAACCCUAGGGUUUAAAAUGAAACAAAAAUCUUUCCAAAGCCCUUUUGAGAUUCAAAUUUGAAGUCAAAUAUGCAAUUGUGGCAUGAUGCUU